CUUCGGUCCCGGCGGCAGCGCAUGGCGGCUCCAGGACAUCCUGCUCGGGAGACAGCGGCAGCCCCGGGCCCAGGACGCCCUACGUGCCGUGACGCUGCCUCGAGGACCAAGAAGCAAAAGAAGAAAACCCGGGAUGGAGCGUCUGUUGCCAAUGGAGGCGGGAAGACCCCAGAAAAGCAGGCCCCCGAGGAAGCCCCCCUAAGCGCAGAGGCCCAGGCUGAGCAGCUGGCUCGGGAACUGGCCUGGUGCGUGGAAAAGCUGGAGCUGGGACUGAAGAUGCAGAGACCCACCCCUAAGCAGAAAGAACAAGCUCUUGGGGCAAUCCGAACCCUGCGCAGCCAGAGAACACCCCUACCCCGGAAGAGGCAGCUGAUGCGCUCUUUGUUUGGGGACUACAGGGCUCAGAUAGAAGCCGAGUGGCGCGAGGCCCUGCAGGCUCUCAGGACUGCUGCCCACUCAGCCCAGGUGCAGCCUGUAGGUGAGGCGGCCAGAAAGAAGAGCCGAAGGGUCUGCAGACUUCGUCCACAAGGAAGGUCUACGGGCACCUUGGAUACUCGUGAUGAAGAGUUUAAGUUUAAUUUCUUUUAGCCUCUUCCCUAUUCUAGAGUGGCCGCCUCUGCAGUGGAGCAGGGUUUCUCUGGAGUGCAGCACUUUUCCAGGAAUGCUGGGGGCAGAUGGGAGACCUGCAUGUUUGGUGCUGACAAGCCCAGGACCCCAUUUGCAGGUUUUCAGCUGAGAUGUCCCUCCUGCCAGAAGAGGGAGGUUCCUUUAGAUGGUUCUACAGUAGAUUGAACAAAGUAACACCUGACAACUCUCUCCGCCAAGUGAGGACACACUGAGGUGGCUGGACUUUAGACCUGGGAGAGAACCCUGAACGGGAGCUCAAUCAGCCAGCACACUGGUCUUGGGCUUCUCAGCCUCCAGAAAUGUAAGAAAUAAACUUCUGGAUUUUAAACCACCUGGUCUGUGAUAUUUCAUUAUGGCAGCCUGAGCUAACACACCAUUCAGUGGGUGGGGGUAAAAAAAGCUUUUCAAGAAAUGUUAUAGGGAAAACUGUAUAUCCACCCGCAAAAGAGUAUAAAGUUGGACCCUUACCUGUUAAGAUAUAUAAAAAAUUAGCUCAAAACAGAUCAAAGACCAAACCAUAAGACCUAAAACUAUAAAUCUCUUUGAAGAAAAGAUAGGGGCCCAUCUUCAUAAUAUUGGAUUUAAUAAUUAUUUCCUGAGUAUGACACCCUAAGCACAGGCAACAAGAGAAAAAAACAGGUAAGUUUUUGUUUCUGUUUUGGCUGUGCUGGCUCUUCACUGCUGUAUGGGCUUUUUCUCUAGCUGCAGCGAGCAGCUGUGCACAGGCAUCUCUCGUUGCUUCUCUUGUCGAAGAGCAGGGGCUCUAGGGCUAAUGAGCUCCAGAGCACAAGCUCCGAGUUCGGCGCACAGGCUUGCAUGCUCCAGGGCAUGUGGGCAUGUUCCCGGAUCAGGGGUUGAACUCACGUCUCCUCCACUGAC